UGGGUCAGCGACUUAUAUUCUGUAGCAAGGUUAACCGUAUAGGGGAGCCGAAGGGAAACCGAGUCUUAACUGGGCGUUAAGUUGCAGGGUAUAGACCCGAAACCCGGUGAUCUAGCCAUGGGCAGGUUGAAGGUUGGGUAACACUAACUGGAGGACCGAACCGACUAAUGUUGAAAAAUUAGCGGAUGACUUGUGGCUGGGGGUGAAAGGCCAAUCAAACCGGGAGAUAGCUGGUUCUCCCCGAAAGCUAUUUAGGUAGCGCCUCGUGAAUUCAUCUUCGGGGGUAGAGCACUGUUUCGGCUAGGGGGUCAUCCCGACUUACCAACCCGAUGCAAACUGCGAAUACCGAAGAAUGUUAUCACGGGAGACACACGGCGGGUGCUAACGUCCGUCGUGAAGAGGGAAACAACCCAGACCGCCAGCUAAGGUCCCAAAGUCAUGGUUAAGUGGGAAACGAUGUGGGAAGGCACAGACAGCCAGGAUGUUGGCUUAGAAGCAGCCAUCAUUUAAAGAAAGCGUAAUAGCUCACUGGUCGAGUCGGCCUGCGCGGAAGAUGUAACGGGGCUAAACCAUGCACCGAAGCUGCGGCAGCGACACUAUGUGUUGUUGGGUAGGGGAGCGUUCUGUAAGCCGUUGAAGGUGUGCUGUGAGGCAUGCUGGAGGUAUCAGAAGUGCGAAUGCUGACAUAAGUAACGAUAAUGCGGGUGAAAAACCCGCACGCCGGAAGACCAAGGGUUCCUGUCCAACGUUAAUCGGGGCAGGGUGAGUCGACCCCUAAGGCGAGGCCGAAAGGCGUAGUCGAUGGGAAACAGGUUAAUAUUCCUGUACUUGGUGUUACUGCGAAGGGGGGACGGAGAAGGCUAUGUUAGCCGGGCGACGGUUGUCCCGGUUUAAGCAUGUAGGCGGAGGUUCCAGGUAAAUCCGGUACCUUUUUAACGCUGAGGUGUGAUGACGAGGCACUACGGUGCUGAAGUAACAAAUGCCCUGCUUCCAGGAAAAGCCUCUAAGCAUCAGGUAACACGAAAUCGUACCCCAAACCGACACAGGUGGUCAGGUAGAGAAUACCAAGGCGCUUGAGAGAACUCGGGUGAAGGAACUAGGCAAAAUGGUGCCGUAACUUCGGGAGAAGGCACGCUGAUAUGUAGGUGAAGUGAUUUACUCAUGGAGCUGAAAUCAGUCGAAGAUACCAGCUGGCUGCAACUGUUUAUUAAAAACACAGCACUGUGCAAACACGAAAGUGGACGUAUACGGUGUGACGCCUGCCCGGUGCCGGAAGGUUAAUUGAUGGGGUUAUCCGUAAGGAGAAGCUCUUGAUCGAAGCCCCGGUAAACGGCGGCCGUAACUAUAACGGUCCUAAGGUAGCGAAAUUCCUUGUCGGGUAAGUUCCGACCUGCACGAAUGGCGUAAUGAUGGCCAGGCUGUCUCCACCCGAGACUCAGUGAAAUUGAACUCGCUGUGAAGAUGCAGUGUACCCGCGGCAAGACGGAAAGACCCCGUGAACCUUUACUAUAGCUUGACACUGAACACUGGUCCUUGAUGUGUAGGAUAGGUGGGAGGCUUUGAAGUGUGGACGCCAGUCUGCAUGGAGCCAUCCUUGAAAUACCACCCUUUAAUGGCUGGUGUUCUAACGUGGACCCGUAAUCCGGGUUGCGGACAGUGUCUGGUGGGUAGUUUGACUGGGGCGGUCUCCUCCUAAAGAGUAACGGAGGAGCACGAAGGUUAGCUAAUCCUGGUCGGACAUCAGGAGGUUAGUGCAAAGGCAUAAGCUAGCUUGACUGCGAGAGUGACGGCUCGAGCAGGUGCGAAAGCAGGUCUUAGUGAUCCGGUGGUUCUGAAUGGAAGGGCCAUCGCUCAACGGAUAAAAGGUACUCCGGGGAUAACAGGCUGAUACCGCCCAAGAGUUCAUAUCGACGGCGGUGUUUGGCACCUCGAUGUCGGCUCAUCACAUCCUGGGGCUGAAGUAGGUCCCAAGGGUAUGGCUGUUCGCCAUUUAAAGUGGUACGCGAGCUGGGUUUAGAACGUCGUGAGACAGUUCGGUCCCUAUCUGCCGUGGGCGCUGGAGAAUUGAGGGGGGCUGCUCCUAGUACGAGAGGACCGGAGUGGACGCAUCACUGGUGUUCGGGUUGUCAUGCCAAUGGCAUUGCCCGGUAGCUAAAUGCGGAAGAGAUAAGUGCUGAAAGCAUCUAAGCACGAAACUUGCCCCGAGAUGAGUUCUCCCUGAGACUAUAAGUCUCCUGAAGGAACGUUGAAGACGACGACGUUGAUAGGUCGGGUGUGUAAGUGUAGCGAUACAUUGAGCUAACCGAUACUAAUGAACCGUGAGGCUUAACCUU
rnacentral:rRNA from 1 species